rnacentral:sRNA from 1 species
AGAUAUCAGGGUUCAAAGGUCAAAAAGCUGUUCGUGCUUGCACGAUAAAGCUUUUGAACUUGGAACCCGCCAAACAUAAGGAAGCAGCGAUUUACGCAGUAAAUCAGCGGAUUCCGAAUGUUUGAGGAUUGCGGAAGUGCGAGGCACGGAGCAAUCCGUGAUAUCU